rnacentral:rRNA from 1 species
CCUACGGGAGGCAGCAGUGAGGAAUAUUGGUCAAUGGGCGAGAGCCUGAACCAGCCAAGUCGCGUGAGGGAAGACGGUCCUACGGAUUGUAAACCUCUUUUGUCAGGGAGCAAGGAGCGCCACGAGGGGUGAGGCGAGAGUACCUGAAGAAAAAGCAUCGGCUAACUCCGUGCCAGCAGCCGCGGUAAUACGGAGGAUGCGAGCGUUAGUCGGAUUUAUUGGGUUUAAAGGGUGGGCAGGCGGAAGCGGCAAGUCAGCGGUAAAUUUGCGGGGCUCAACCUCGCCGAGCCGUUGAAACUGCUCGUCUAGAGUGGGCGAGAAGUAUGCGGAAUGCGUGGUGUAGCGGUGAAAUGCAUAGAUAUCACGCAGAACUCCGAUUGCGAAGGCAGCAUACCGGCGCCCAACUGACGCUCAUGCACGAAAGCGUGGGUAUCGAACAGGAUUAGAUACCCGUGUAGUC